rnacentral:misc_RNA from 1 species
AAGUCGUAACAAGGUUUCCGUAGGUGAACCUGCGGAAGGAUCAUUAACACGUAUCCAAACGUUAAAACCCCCCCCGUGAACCUUCAUCCUGCUCUUGUAACCCGCGUAGUUCGCAAUCUCUGAUAAAUCAUAGCCCGGAAAGUUGUAGUGAUUCAGAGACCUCUGGCUACGUGCGAACAUUGGAACAGUUACAAUCGAGCGGUAGUUCUAUAGGCAAUGUUUCCCCAAGCAGUCAGUGUCGGAAAGUGUCAUUGAUUGUGAUAGCGCUUUGCCAAAGGGUCCCCAUGCCCCCUAAUAACCCCACAGUUUAAAGUGAAGCUCAAUGUAAUACAUUGGGUAAAAAGACCGAACAACAGUUAACAAUGGAUAUCUUGGUUCUC